GCACUGGUGGUUCAGUGGUACAAUUCUCAUCUUUCAUGCUGGAGACCUGGGUUCAGUUCCUAGCCAAUGCA
rfam:Loxodonta africana unplaced genomic scaffold scaffold_2, whole genome shotgun sequence.